rnacentral:rRNA from 1 species
UACGUAGGGUGCAAGCGUUGUCCGGAAUUAUUGGGCGUAAAGAGCUCGUAGGCGGUUUGUCGCGUCUGCUGUGAAAACUCGGGGCUUAACUCCGGGCCUGCAGUGGGUACGGGCAGACUAGAGUGCGGUAGGGGAGACUGGAAUUCUCGGUGUAGCGGUGAAAUGCGUAGAUAUCGAGAGGAACACCUGCGGCGAAGGCGGGUUGCUGGGCUGACACUGACGCUGAAGCGCGAAAGCUAGGGGAGCGAACGGG